GCCAGACUCCUACGGGAGGCAGCAGUGGGGAAUAUUGCACAAUGGGGGAAACCCUGAUGCAGCGACGCCGCGUGAGCGAGGAAGUAUUUCGGUAUGUAAAGCUCUGUCAGCAGGGAAGAAGAAUGACGGUACCUGAAGAAGAAGCACCGGCUAAAUACGUGCCAGCAGCCGCGGUAAUACGUAUGGUGCAAGCGUUAUCCGGAUUUACUGGGUGUAAAGGGAGCGCAGGCGGUUCUGCAAGUCUGAUGUGAAAGCCCGGGGCUCAACCCCGGGACUGCAUUGGAAACUGCAGGACUGGAGUGUCGGAGGGGUAAGCGGAAUUCCUGGUGUAGCGGUGAAAUGCGUAGAUAUCAGGAGGAACACCUGUGGCGAAGGCGGCUUACUGGACGAUGACUGACGCUGAGGCUCGAAAGCGUGGGGAGCAAACAGGAUUAGAUACCCCAGUAGUG
rnacentral:rRNA from 1 species